rnacentral:ncRNA from 1 species
UGAAUGACCAUGACCAGGAGGAGUAAAGAUGUAUUUUACUUUUUAGAGAGGAACUUCUAGGCUGAAAGAGUUCUAAGUAAACCAUUUUGAAGGUAGCCUGUGAGUUGGUAUGAUGAAAUAAGUAGUGUAGUCAUACCCGUCCGUUUACGUUACAAACAAAAUUGAGUGGCCGUAGAUCAUUUUUAAAUCUAACGGCAAUUAGGAUGGUACCGCGAUUAUAAGUCGUUCCUGUU